rnacentral:rRNA from 1 species
GAUGAACGCUGGCGGCGUGCCUAAUACAUGCAAGUCGAGCGAACAGACGAGUAGCUUGCUCCUCAUACGAUAGCGGCGGACGGGUGAGUAACACGUGGGAACCCUCCCUAUAAGCCUGAGAUAACUGCGAGAAAGGGUCUCUAACACCGUAGAAUAUAUUGAACCACGUAAUUCAGUAGUGAAAGACGGUUUUGCUGUCACUUAUAGAUGGAUCCGCGCCGCAUUAGCUAGUUGGGAAGGUAACGGCGUACCAAGGCAACGAUGGGGAGGCGACCUGAGCGGGUGAUCGGCCACACUGGAAAUGAGACACGGUCCAGACUCCUACGGGAGGCACCGGUAGGGAAUCUUCCGCAAUGGGCGAAAGCCUGACGGAGCAACGGCACGUGAGAGAUGAAGGUCUUCGGAUCGUAAAACUCUGUUAUUAGGGAAGAACAAAUGUGUAAGUAACUAUGCACGUCUUGACGGUACCUAAUCAGAAAGCCACGGCUAACUACGUG